rnacentral:lncRNA from 1 species
GCCCAUAUUUAACCAUCAUAUUUGUGCAUAUGAUUGCAGCUCUGCUGAAGGGACUUGGGAGUGAGCUGCCAGGCUACAAGGGAUUGAAUCGAAAGCCCCCUAAUGGUUAAAGUGUCCAUUAGCUUCUCUACACUUAGCAUCCAUCAGAGAGAAGACAGGCUGGGAGCCCCGGGCGAAUUUCUAACUAGCCUAAUGAGGAGAGAGAUUCUGGGAGCAAAAAAAGUUCAUUUGCUGAAUUUCCAGCAAGAAGUCACUUCAAUAUUGCUUCUAGGAAACACUGACAGGCUUUGUUGAUUAGCAAGCUAAACAGAGAAAAAGAUAACACUCAAGAAGCUGCCUAUAUGUAAGAGAUUCCUUUGAGAACUUUCAAAUGGCUCCUUUCUACAAAAGACCUGGGAAUACUUAACCCCCCACCACUAGCACACUCAAAGCUCAAGGCAAAUGCAUUUUCAAGAUUGACAGGGUCUUGGACUCUGAAAGUCUUUGGUGAGUAUUGCGCUGCAAGUCUUAAUAUUCUACCGAAUGAGUAAGUACGCUAUUUUCUGAAAAUAUUUCAAAAGGCGACAUUUUUCUCAGGUUUCCACUACAACCACCCACCC